UACGAAGGGGGCUAGCGUUGCUCGGAAUCACUGGGCGUAAAGGGUGCGUAGGCGGGUCUUUAAGUCAGGGGUGAAAUCCUGGAGCUCAACUCCAGAACUGCCUUUGAUACUGAGGAUCUUGAGUCCGGGAGAGGUGAGUGGAACUGCGAGUGUAGAGGUGAAAUUCGUAGAUAUUCGCAAGAACACCAGUGGCGAAGGCGGCUCACUGGCCCGGUAUUGACGCUGAUGCGCGAAAGCGUGGGGAGCAAACGGG
rnacentral:rRNA from 1 species